rnacentral:rRNA from 1 species
GACCCGCUGAAUUUAAGCAUAUAAUUAAGCGGAGGAAAAGAAACCAACUCGGAUUCCCCUAGUAACGGCGAGUGAAGCGGGAAGAGCUCAUGUUGUAAAUCUGGAUGAGGGUUCCUCGUCCCGAAUUGUAGUCUAGAGAUGCGUGCUCAGCUACUCUCCAGGGCUAAGUCUGUUUGUGAAAGACAGUAUCAUGGACGGUGAUAAUCCGGUUCUUGCCUUGGAUGUUGUAGCGUUUUGAGCCGUCCUCAACGAGUCGAGUUGCUUGGGAUUGCAGCUCUAAGUGGGUGGUAAAUUCCAUCUAAAGCUAAAUAUUGGUGGGAGACCGAUAGCGAACAAGUACCGUGAGGGAAAGAUGAAAAGAACUUUGAAAAGAGAGUUAAAUAGUACCUGAAACUGCUGAAAGGGAAGCGAAUGAAGUCAGUGUUGCUCUUGGUGCUCUGCUUCCGUCCCUGCGGGGAUUGUGCAUCGAGGACUUUGAGCUUGUCAGGAUGAGUUCUCUGCCGCGGGAUAUGUUUUGUGAGCUGGACGCUUCGGCCGAACUCGCAUUCUCUGUCGUGGCUUGGACUGAGGUUCCAUCUUGCCRUUGCCUGCUCGUUGCUCUCUUGUUGCUGUCUCUGUCCUACUGCUUGCAGUGUUCAGUUGCAGUUGCUGGACUGUGCGGGUUAUGCAUGCAAGGUCAGGAUCCUGACGAAAUGGCUUUAUUUACCCCGUCUUGAAACACGGACCAAGGAGUCUAACAUACGUGCGAGUACUUUGGUGGCAAACCAAUGUGCGCAAUGAAAGUAAAGGCUGGCUUCCGUCAGCUCAGGUGGGAUCCUUAUGGAGCACCAUCGACCGACCAUUGUCCCUUCGGGGUAAAGGUUUGAGUGUGAGCAUUUAUGUUGGGACCCGAAAGAUGGUGAACUAUGCCUGAAUAGGGCGAAGCCAGGGGAAACUCUGGUGGAGGCUCGUAGCGAUUCUGACGUGCAAAUCG